GUCCAACGGUAACAGGAAGCAGCUUGCUGCUUUGCUGACGAGUGGCGGACGGGUGAGUAAUGUCUGGGAAACUGCCUGAUGGAGGGGGAUAACUACUGGAAACGGUAGCUAAUACCGCAUAACGUCGCAAGACCAAAGAGGGGGACCUUCGGGCCUCUUGCCAUCGGAUGUGCCCAGAUGGGAUUAGCUAGUAGGUGGGGUAACGGCUCACCUAGGCGACGAUCCCUAGCUGGUCUGAGAGGAUGACCAGCCACACUGGAACUGAGACACGGUCCAGACUCCUACGGGAGGCAGCAGUGGGGAAUAUUGCACAAUGGGCGCAAGCCUGAUGCAGCCAUGCCGCGUGUAUGAAGAAGGCCUUCGGGUUGUAAAGUACUUUCAGCGGGGAGGAAGGCGACAGGGUUAAUAACCCUGUCGAUUGACGUUACCCGCAGAAGAAGCACCGGCUAACUCCGUGCCAGCAGCCGCGGUAAUACGGAGGGUGCAAGCGUUAAUCGGAAUUACUGGGCGUAAAGCGCACGCANGCGGUCUGUCAAGUCGGAUGUGAAAUCCCCGGGCUCAACCUGGGAACUGCAUUCGAAACUGGCAUGCUAGAGUCUUGUACAGGGGGGUAGAAUUCCAGGUGUACCGCUGAAAUGCCUACAGAUCUGGAGGAAUACCGGUGGCGAANGCGUCCCCCUGUGACAAA
rnacentral:rRNA from 1 species